AUCAAACUGAAUAUUCUCAUUAUUGUUGGAAGUAGAAGUACAUACAAGUGGACUAUGAACAAUAUGAGGACCAUGACCAUUAGAAGCAAACUCCCUACAAUUAUUUGCAUGACAGGACUUAGUAAUAGAGGAAUUGUAUUUCCUAUUUUUAACAGAGAAUGAAGAAUUAUUAUUACUACUUCUAGAAUGACAACAACAUAUUGAACUUUCAUUGACUCUAUUGGUAUUUCUCAGGCAGCUUGCACACAGAAAAUAUAGCCCAUCCUUGUUGUUACCAAUUGCCUGAGGCCUCUUCACUGAAGGGGCCUGCAACACACACAA
rnacentral:lncRNA from 1 species